AGAUGCCUUCCAUGGUAUCUAUACUGAGGGGGACAGUCCAGAAAACCAGGGAUUUGGAGAGGUAUGCCUGAGGUGCAAUGGAAGCCAAGAAAACACUGCCUGUCCCGGACGGAGAUAGAAGAAUUUUUUUGAAUCCUAUGUUGGCACUGAAUCACUCAACCUCUCUCCACCACUGUGGCAUUAAUUAGAUGUUUUCAGAGAUUUAUACUAUUAUAUUUAAAUAAAACAAUAAACUCCUUGGAGAAGAAAAUAAUUCAAAGUAUGUUUAUAGGAAAUUUCUGGUUUGGGAUCUUCAUCACGCCCUGUACUUUUUUGGCAGAGAAGAGCUGGCAGGAGGGCGUGUCAAGUGUUUUCUGGUGUUUAGAGAUUUUUAUUUAUUCAUGAGAGAAAGAGGCAGAGGCACAGGCAGAGGGAGAAGCAGGCUCCAUGCAGGGAGCCCGACGUGGGACUUGAUCCUGAGUCUCUAGGAUCACGGCCUGGGCCAAAGGCUGCUCUAAGCCGCUGAGCCACCCGGGCUGCCCAUGAACUGUCUUUAAAGUAUGUCACAGUCUUUUUCACAGUGACAGAAGAAGGAUGCAUCAAAAGUUGAUCAACUUUUGAUCUAUACUGUUAAUUCCCUACAUGGCAAUAGUAAAAUUCAAUCCUGCUGACUGGAGUAAUUCCCUUCCAGAGAACUCGGAUAUUCUCAUAAAACAGCUGGCAUUGCCUGAAAGGGAGGUAUUGUUGGUAGGUAAGCCAGCAUCCUAGAGGCUGGGACUCUGCCAGCAUCUCAUAUAACAAACAUGUUGCUGAUCCACUUUUGUUUGUUUUCCCAGACAAAAAUGAUUACAACAUACUUCAGGGCCAACACAGAAACUUUGCCUUUGUAAUGUAUUAACUUGCUCUCAACCUUCAGAUGUUCAAAAUUGCUAAACUAAAUGACAAUAUCCAACCUAAAAAAAAUACUAAAACCUGGCUAAAAACUCAAUUGGCCAA